GAUAUUUCCUUCUUCCUCUAGUUUCCUUGUUUCUUACACCAGUCAAGCUCAAUUUCUUUCAAUUUUUUCCACUUCUUCAAAAAUUCUAAACUUAUUUUUCAACUUUUAACAGUUGACAUGCUUUGAGAUUUUUUUUUUUUUUUGUAAUGUGAAAUUCUCUAAGAUUUGUUGCUUAAUCGAGCUUGAUAAUGAAAUUGUGGAGGUGAUUAAUCUUCAGUCUUAUCUGUGACAUUCUGAACAUAAAGAGGAUUGAACCCCAUUUUUUGUCAUAUCUGAGGUGGUGGUGUUUAUUUGGUUAUGGAUCUGCUCUCUGCGUCACUGCCUGCCUGGUGAUUUGCUCCUUCGUUUCAGGUUGAGCUGAACUGGCUUAGAGGUUGGGUUUCUGGAAGUGGACGCUAUGCGCCAUUUGUUUUGUGGAUUGAAGAGGGUUUUUCACUGUUCAGCUGUUGCAUCUUCUUUGUUAUUAUUAUUGUUAUCAGGUUUUCUGAAUCUGAUUGACAGGGAGUGUCUAGAUGAGCGUUGAUGGUGAUGGUGACAAAGAUUUGAGGGAACUAAAUCACCUGCUACAAAGUGUGAAUAAGAGAGUUAAGGAUGGGAUUGUAAGUGAGGAGCAAAAUUUAGCUGAAGAUUGCAGUUUGGAAGUCAAUGGCACUGCUGAAAACAUAAAAGAUGGACAUGGAGGGGCUCCUCAGGCCCCUGCAGCUGCACUGCAAAUAACACAGCAACAACAAUCUCAAGGAUCGACAGUUUGUUGGGAGAGGUUUCUCCAUUUGAGAUCCCUCAAGGUUCUGCUUGUGGAAUAUGAUGAUUCUACUCGACAUGUUGUCACUGCCCUGCUUCGCAAUUGCAGUUAUGAAGUUAUCGAAACAUCAAAUGGAUUACAAGCAUGGAAGAUACUAGAAGAUUUGACCAAUCAAAUUGACCUAGUCUUAACUGAGGUAAUCAUGCCUCAGUUAUCUGGUAUUGGUCUUUUAUGCAAGAUUAUGAGCCAUAGGUCACGCAAGAACAUUCCUGUCAUCAUGAUGUCCUCUCAUGAUUCCAUGGGCUUAGUCUUUAGGUGUUUAUCAAAAGGUGCUGUUGAUUUUUUAGUGAAGCCUAUACGGAAAAAUGAACUCAAGAACCUAUGGCAGCAUGUAUGGAGAAGAUGCCAUAGUUCUAGUGGUAGUGGGAGUGAAAGUGGCACACAGACUCAAAAAUCUGUUAAAUCAAAAAGUGUUGAGAAGUCUGACAAUGACACGGGAAGCAAUGAUGAAGAGGAUAAUGAAAGCAUUGGUUUAAAUCUAGGUGAUGGAAGUGACAAUGGGAGCGGCACCCAGAGCUCUUGGACGAAACAAGCUGUAGAGGUUGACAGUCCACGGCCAGUGUCUCCUUGGGAUCAAAUUGCUGAAUGUCCUGACAGCACUUGUGCUCAAGUUAUCCACUCAAAUGCGGAAAUAUCAGAUAAUGCAAUUGGUAAAGACCCAAAGAAAGUUGUGCCAGGAAAUCUAGAGUUACACCUUGAAUACCAAGUUGAGGAUCCUAUCAAACAUGUAGAUAUAAAACAGAAGAAUGUUCUAGAGAGGGAACCCGGUAAACUCAAGGAGCAAAUUGACAAGGGACAGCUAGACCUCAACAGUGAGGGUCCAUCAAUCAAAUUAAAGUAUGAAGCUGCUAGUCUGACAGGUUUCAUCACAAACACUAUUGAUCCCCAUAUGAAUAGCAUGGAUUUUGAGGCUUCACAUGGACAUUCCAAGAUCUCAGAUAUAAAAGAUAGCUCCUCUAAUGAUGCUAAAGAAACACUGCCCUUUGAACUUAGUUUAAAAAGACUUAGAGGAGUUAAGGAUGUAGGGACCACAAUUCUGGAAGAUCGUAAUGUCUUGAGACGUUCAGACUCAUCAGCUUUUUCUAGGUACAAUGCAGCCUCAAAUUCAAAUAAGGCUACUGGUGCAAACAUUAAGAGUGGUUGCCCAAAUGAUUCUAGUUUAGAUGUUACCAAAAAAGGAUCAGUUUGUGAUAUGCAAUCUCAUUCAAAUGGUGAUCACCCUAAUCAAUACUCAAAUGUUGGUAGCAAUAAUUUUGAUUUGGAUUCCACAACAAAUCACACUUUUACCGAGUCAGUCAUCUUGAAAAAUAAGUCAGCUGUAUCAUCCACAAUCAAAUAUUUGCAUCCACCUUCUACUUUCCAGCCAAUGAAAGGUGACCCACUAUGUGCUCCUCAGCAGAUUUUAUCAGAGAAAGCUAAUGAUGUAGCUGGUACAACAAUGCUAACUCAAACAAGAGACACCAUUCAGGAACUCCAAAUUCCGCACCUUAAUAACCAUUAUCAUCAUCUUCCCAGCAUGCAAUCACAACAGCAACAGUUGGCAACUGAGCAUGAUGAUUCAUCAUUGAAGAAAAUGGCUGCAGCUGUUCCACAUUGUGGGUCCUCCAAUUUGUUGGGUGGGACUCUUGAAGGUAAUGGUGGCAAUUACAGUAUCAAUGGAAGUGCUUCAGGUAGUAACCACGGAAGUAACCAUGGGAGUAAUGGACAAAAUGGGAGUUGCACUGCAGUCAAUGCUGGGGGGACUAAUGUAGAAAGUGAUAAUGGGAUUGCUGGUAAAGCUGGAAGUGGUGAUGGUAGUGGGAGUGGGAGUGGAAGUGGGGAUGGAAACCGAGUAGAUCAGAACAAGUUUUCUCAGAGAGAAGCUGCCUUGACCAAAUUUCGACAGAAAAGAAAGGAGAGAUGCUUCAGAAAAAAGGUUCGGUACCAAAGCAGGAAGAAAUUAGCUGAGCAACGACCGCGUGUGCGGGGACAAUUCGUGCGGCAGACAGCAAAUGAGAGCACAAGCAGAGCAACCGAGAGCUAAUUGAUCCCUUGAUCUGAUAGUGACAAUUACGCACUGAUUAGUCGGGGCAUAGGAAGAGUUGAGGAACAAGAAAUGACACACACUUCCUCUGGAGGAAGAAGGAUACAUUCCUAAGCUUCUCUUGAACUACGCCAGUUCCUUCAAGCAAAGCAAACAUGGUGAGCUGUCGGAAAUGCCCUUAUUUAGUCAAAUGUAUUUACAUGCAAAUACAGAAGAGGCAAAACAUGGAAGACAUUAUAUGUGAUAUUUAGUCUUUGAUAAUAUCCUUUCAUCUUGUGAUGGUUUUAACACUAUCAAAUGCCUCUCUUGUUAUUAAUGAGCUUGGAACCGUUGUGCUUUGAUGCAGGAUGAUGACUCUGAACUGUGGAUCCAUGCAAUAACUCAGGAUACUAGAAUCAAUAAGUCUCUAAAUAACAGCAAAUAAUAUUUAUAUGA